ACGGGAAUAGCUCAGUUGGUAGAGCAUCGGUCUCCAAAACCGAGGGUCGUGGGUUCAAGUCCUGCUUCCCGUG
rnacentral:tRNA from 2 species